CCUACGGGCGGCAGCAGUGGGGAAUAUUGCACAAUGGGCGAAAGCCUGAUGCAGCAACGCCGCGUGAAGGAAGACGGUUCUCGGAUUGUAAACUUCUGUUCUUAGUGAAGAAUAAUGACGGUAACUAAGGAGCAAGCCACGGCUAACUAAGUGCCAGCAGCCGCGGUCAUACGUAGGUGGCAAGCGUUGUCCGGAAUUACUGGGUGUAAAGGGAUCGUAGGCGGGAAGCCAAGUCAGCUGUGAAAACUACGGGCUUAACCUGUAGACUGCAGUUGAAACUGGCUUUCUUGAGUGAAGUAGAGGUUGGCGGAAUGCGGGGUGUAGCGGUGAAAUGCGUAGAUAUUCGGAGGAACACCGGUGGCGAAGGCGGCCAACUGGGCUUUAACUGACGCUGAGGCUCGAAAGUGUGGGGAGCAAACAGGAUUAGAUACCCGUGUAGUC
rnacentral:rRNA from 1 species